UCUAAAAGUCUAUUUCAUAAUAUCAAGUGUUUUAAAUUUUAAAUAUACUUAACAGGCUUCCCAAAGUCAAACUUUAGUCUCAAGGUUGUCUUUCCUAACCCCUGGCUUUUGGGUGCUGCAGAGGACCCCCGAAGCAUCUAGAAGAGAGGUAAACAGAAUUAUUUAACAUGUUGAGGAACAUAAAAUUACCAAAAUGAUGUCUAAUACUCUUCAGGUUAUAUUUUAGGGGAUAAUAUUAACAUGUGUUCCAAAACUGUGUGGGAUGUCUGUGGUUCUAGUGUCUGAAUGUGUGCUAUUACAAUUAAGCUUGUUAUGUUGGGUUUUUGAAAACCACAAAAAUAACCAAAUUUCUUUGUUAAUUGUAUUUCUGACUAUCCAAACUGGACAUUUUGUCAUUUACAGACAAUUGUUGUUUUGUUUUAAUUCUCUUCAAAAGAUGGUUUAUAAUCAAGCCGUGGGACUUCAGUAAGUUCUCUCCAAUGCAGGUUUGUCAUGACCAAAAAAUGUACAGGACUCAUAAAAGGCUAAAAUGUUUAUCACUAUCAAACAAAACAAAAGUUAAUGGAAUGAACUAAACUAAUAGAAAACUAAAGCAAUAUUCCUCAUUUAUGCUUAGAACAUGGCUAAUCCUUAUUUUAUUUUUUAGAGUCAAAAAAACUUGUCUUUAGCUACAGCCUUUGAUAACUAAGCAAAGUGUACUACUAUAGGCAAAGUUUGGAGCAUGUUUAUUUCUCUCUGACUAAUUCCUCUAGAAUUUAGAAACUAGUUAUAAAUAUUCUUAAAUUACAACAAUAUAGUUGUUUGAAUCAGUGCAACAAGAAUCCAUUUUCUCUUGCAACAAAACACAAUCGGAAAAACUGGUUGUUUUACCAAGGCUUUGAUUGGAAGGGUCUGUUUCCCUUUAAGGGAUCAAGCUUAACUUGCUGAGCCAAUAAAAAGCCCUGGGGAAAACUGGCCUCAUACCUGUCUACACAGUCUCCACACCGGGUUCCUGACCUGCGGUGUGUAAAGAAUGUCACUUUCUAACAGGCCUAGGAACCCCAUGCUUCUGGAACCUCAAGAAGGAAAAGAAUUUAUCCAACUCACAGAAACCAUCAAGCUUCAGAUGGUGCCGCAAAUGGAGCCGAAAAUGAAACUGCCCUCCUACGAAGGACCCUUAAAUCAGCCCCAGGAGGAAGCCCCAGCUGCUGUUCCCCACACAACACCACUCUCCAGCAGGAAGGAGCCAGAAGAAAUGUCACCCACUUUCCCCUAGCGGCAGUUAGGGAUUCUAUUUCUGAGGGGGGAAAUACGUUAUAGGAGUCAGAAAUUAUUUAGGUAGACAGUCUACCUAAAAAACUGAGUCGCUGGCAGAAAACUUUCCUUUUAACAAAAAGCAGCUGAAAAAUAGCUCCCUUUCUAAUCUCAUGCAGUUCAAAAAAAGUGCUUCUCUUCUAGCAACAGGCAGCCUGAAAGUUGAGGCUGUAAAACACAGAGAAGAUGGCUUGAGCACAGAAAGACAGGGGGAAGUCUCCUGGGUAAUCACCAAACUUCACACUUACACAAUGGGCCCCAGUAAAACAGUGGGUCUUAAUAAGCAUAUUCCUUUCCCUUUAGGCGCACUAAGAUAGAGGAGCUAAAAACAGACUGGGGGGAUGUCUGCAGCUGCAAGAAGAUGUGUGAGAGCAGACACAGAAACUCUCCCUCCCAGGUGGAGAGAAAGGGGAGGAAGUGGAGAUAAAGAAGAAACAGG